rnacentral:rRNA from 1 species
AUACGUAGGUGGCAAGCGUUGUCCGGAUUUACUGGGCGUAAAGCGCGCGCAGGCGGCUCACCAAGUCUGGGGUGAAAUCUCCCGGCUCAACCGGGAGGGGUCUCUGGAUACUGGCAGGCUUGAGGUCAGUAGAGGAGAGCGGAAUUCCCGGAGUAGCGGUGAUAUGCGUAGAUACCGGGAGGAACACCAGAGGCGAAGGCGGCUCUCUGGGCUGCACCUGACGCUGAUGCACGAAAGCGUGGGGAGCGAACCGGAUUAGAAACCCGAGUAGUCC